GACAGAGGGUGCAAACGUUGUUCGGAAUUACUGGGCGUAAAGGGCGCGUAGGCGGCCUGAUAAGUCGGGGGUGAAAUCCUGUGGCUCAACCACAGGGCUGCCUCCGAGACUGUCGGGCUCGAGCACAGUAGAGGCAGGUGGAAUUCCCGGUGUAGCGGUGGAAUGCGCAGAUAUCAGGAAGAACACCAAUGGCGAAAGCAGCUUUCUGGGACGGUACUGACGCUGAGACGCGAAAGCGUGGGGAGCGAACAGG
rnacentral:rRNA from 1 species